GACGAACGCUGGCGGCGUGCCUAACACAUGCAAGUCGAACGGGGCGGCGGACGGGUGAGUAAUACAUAGGAAUCUGCCUGAUCGUGGGGGAUAACGUUCGGAAAGGGAAGCUAAUACCACAUACUAUCAGAUUAACCUAGGUCGGAGUAGCUAGUUGUUUAGGUAAUGGCUCACAAAGGCUACGAUCCAGCACUGGUCUGAGAGGAUGAUCAGUCAGACUGGAACUGAGAAACGGUCAAGACUCCUACGGGAGGCAGCAGUGGGGAAUAUUGGACAAUGGGCGAAAGCCUGAUCCAGCCCUGCCGCGUGUGUGAAGAAGGUCUUCGGAUUGUAAAGCACUUUAAGUUGGGAGGCGUUACCGACAGAAUAAGCACCGGCUAACUCUGUGCCAGCAGCCGCGGUAAUUC
rnacentral:rRNA from 1 species